rnacentral:lncRNA from 1 species
GUUCUGGAGACUGGACGUCUGAGAUGAAGGUUGAGGGAAAUGUCCUCGCACUCAAACACAACAACCACGCAGCGCUGUUACACAGCUCCGUGGGGAGACAGGGCAUUUUUCUGGAGCUGCCGGCAAGAACAGUCAGAGCAGCAUGGGAGGAAGAGUUGAUGCCUUCUGGAGCUUCUUGCUGGGGGUGCAGCCCUCCUCGGAUGUCAACUUCUUCUCUUUUCUGUCCUCUAUUGUCGUCCUUUCCAAUGAGAAGGCAGCUGAGUGUUUACUCCAGGCUUGCGCCUGCCGCUGGCUGAACCAGGAGGACUCAGAGCCCAGCCCUGCCCUUUGGUUCAUUUGUCUCGGUAGCAAGGCACCUGCCACAGUGCUGGGCACAUAGUAGGUACUCCAUCAGUGCUGCAGGGUAAGGGCAAGCAGGGCAGGGGAGGAACAGGAAAGAAUGCAGAGUUUGAUGGAGAUAGAGCAUGGCUUCUUUCCCUAGGCCCCUUGGUGGGUGAGGGAGGACAUGGGGAGGCUGAGAUAGGCAGCUUCCCCAUCCCCACUGCAAGGAUCUGUGCUCUUCUGGAAUCCUAGUCCUUGAAGUUCCACCAUUGAGGAGUAAUUCCCUUGUGCCAAACAGGACCUCAUCCUUUGCCCACAGUUCUUAUUUAAAAAGGCACUUGUUCUGGGGCAACUGGGUGGCUCAGUUGUUAGGUGUCUGACUUUCGCUCAGGUCAUGAUCCCAGGGUCCUGGGAUCGAGCCCCGCAUCGGGCUCCCUGCUCAUUGGGAGGCCUGCUUCUCCCUCUCCCACUCUCCCUACUUGUAGUUGCUCUCUUCCUGUCUCUCUCUUUCUCUCUGUGUCAAACAAAUAAAUAAAAUCUUAACAACAACAACAACAAAAGCACAUUGUUCUCCCUGU